rnacentral:rRNA from 1 species
GCUGGCGGCGUGCUUAACACAUGCAAGUCGAACGGGAAACUUUUCAUUGAAGCUUCGGCAGAUUUGGUCUGUUUCUAGUGGCGGACGGGUGAGUAACGCGUGGGUAACCUGCCUUAUACAGGGGGAUAACAACCAGAAAUGGUUGCUAAUACCGCAUAAGCGCACAGGACCGCAUGGUCCGGUGUGAAAAACUCCGGUGGUAUAAGAUGGACCCGCGUUGGAUUAGCUAGUUGGCAGGGCAACGGCCUACCAAGGCGACGAUCCAUAGCCGGCCUGAGAGGGUGAACGGCCACAUUGGGACUGAGACACGGCCCAGACUCCUACGGGAGGCAGCAGUGGGGAAUAUUGCACAAUGGGGGAAACCCUGAUGCAGCGACGCCGCGUGAAGGAAGAAGUAUCUCGGUAUGUAAACUUCUAUCAGCAGGGAAGAUAGUGACGGUACCUGACUAAGAAGCCCCGGCUAACUACGUGCCAGCAGCCGCGGUAAUACGUAGGGGGCAAGCGUUAUCCGGAUUUACUGGGUGUAAAGGGAGCGUAGACGGACUGGCAAGUCUGAUGUGAAAGGCGGGGGCUCAACCCCUGGACUGCAUUGGAAACUGUUAGUCUUGAGUGCCGGAGAGGUAAGCGGAAUUCCUAGUGUAGCGGUGAAAUGCGUAGAUAUUAGGAGGAACACCAGUGGCGAAGGCGGCUUACUGGACGGUAACUGACGUUGAGGCUCGAAAGCGUGGGGAGCAAACAGG